rnacentral:rRNA from 1 species
UGGGAACGCGAAGAACCUUACCAGGGCUUGACAUCCUACUAAUGAAGCAGAGAUGCAUUAAGUGCCCUUUGGGGAAAGUAGAGACAGGUGGUGCAUGGUUGUCGUCAGCUCGUGUCGUGAGAUGUUGGGUUAAGUCCCGCAACGAGCGCAACCCCUAUUGUUAGUUGCUACGCAAGAGCACUCUAGCGAGACUGCCGUUGACAAAACGGAGGAAGGUGGGGACGACGUCAAAUCAUCAUGCCCCUUAGGUCCUGGGCCACACACGUAAUACAAUGGCGUUAAACAGAGGGAUGCUAAGCCGUGAGGUGGAGCGAACCCCUAAAAGGCGUCUCAGUUCGGAUUGCAGGCUGCAACUCGCCUGCAUGAAGCUGGAGUUGCUAGUAAUCGCGAAUCAGAAUGUCGCGGUGAAUACGUUCCCGGGUC